AGUGUGAAGGAUCUGCAGAAGGUUUUGGACUCGUGCAAACUACAUCUCAGUCAAGUUGAUGAGGUCUGGCCAAACAUAUACAUAGGGAAUGUCCUGCAGCUGAUUUCAUUCAUAAAGCUCUGAAGGCACCUGAUGGGAAGGUUCUGGUGCACUGCAUCAUGGGAAUGAGCCGGUCAUCGACCU